rnacentral:rRNA from 1 species
GUCUAAGUACUAGCCGACCAUUUUAAAUGGUGAAACCGCGAAAAGCUCAUUAAAUCGGCUUUGGUUUAUUAGACAGUUUACAAAUUGAGUGAUUUUUCGCUUUUGGCGUUUUAUCCGAAAUUGUUGAUGGAUAACUGUGGUACAUUCUAGAGCUAAUACAUGAAAAAUGUGAGUGCGGAAUGUCGAUUGCGCUUCGGUGUGAUAAAGAUGUUUUGCACGCUUUUAUUAGAGGAAAAAGCCUUUCGAUCAGUCGUGCAAGCGAUUGUAGAAACGAAGGUGAUGAAUCUGAAUAACUUGAACGGGUCUUUCGUGAAAGGAAUGGCCGCAAGGUUGUUUCCGGUAGCGGAGGAUUUAAAGCAGACCGCAAAUUAAUUGUCGCUGCUGGACUCAUUGCGAGCCGGCUCGAUGAGGUUGCGGCGUGUCUUUCAAUUGUCUGCCUUAUCAACUUUCGAUGGUAGGUUACAUGCCUACCAUGGUUGUAACGGGUAACGGGGAAUCAGGGUUCGAUUCCGGAGAGGGAGCCUGAGAAACGGCUACCACAUCUAAGGAAGGCAGCAGGCACGCAAAUUACCCACUCCCGGCACGGGGAGGUAGUGACGAUAAAUAACGAUCCGGAGCUCUGAUGAGUUUCCGAAAUCGGAAUGAGUACAAUUUAAAUCCUUUAACGAGGAGCUAAUGGAGGGCAAGUCUGGUGCCAGCAGCCGCGGUAAUUCCAGCUCCAUUAGCAUAUAUUAAAGUUGUUGCGUUUAAAAAGCUCGUAGUUAAAUUUGUGUCUUAUGCUGUCAGUCGCUCGCAAUUUAAUUUGCGCAGUUUGAUUUGGCGUGCAUGAGAUGUCGUGCUGGUGGCAUCGUCCGGUCUUUUUGGGGCCGACGGCCAACAGGAAAGCGUAACUCCUGCGUGGUUUACCCGCGUAGUUUUUGCGCAUUCGUGUUCUGAUACCUGGUUCGUGCAGUCGGGUCGUCGACGAUAGCAGGUUCUACGAAUUUGCUAUCGCCGCAUUCGAACGCCGAACAUCAAACGCUAUCGGACCAGUGAGUUUACUUUGAACAAAUUAGAGUGCUUAAAGCAGGCAAAUUUGAAUGCCUUGAAUAUGAGUGCAUGGAAUAAUAGAAGAUGAUUUCGAUACCGUUUUUAUUUUAACGGCUUUUGCACCGUCGAAUGCCGGGCCGCUUUGCGCUUGAUGCGCUUCGUGUGUGUCGUCCGUGAAGUGGUCGCCUGUGCACGGCGGGCGCGGAAUAU